UGCAGCCAUGCCGCGUGUGUGAAGAGGCCUUCGGGUUGUAAAGCACUUUCAGUCAGAGGAAAGGGUGUGAGUUAAUACCUCAAUCUGUGACGUUACCGACAGAAGAAGCACCGGCUAACUCCGUGCCAGCAGCCGCGGUAAUACGGAGGGUGCGAGCGUUAAUCGGAAUUACUGGGCGUAAAGCGUACGCAGGCGGUUUGUUAAGCGAGAUGUGAAAGCCCCGGGCUCAACCUGGGAACUGCAUUUCGAACUGGCAAACUAGAGUGUGAUAGAGGGUGGUAGAAUUUCAGGUGUAGCAGUGAAAUGCGUAGAGAUCUGAAGGAAUACCGAUGGCGAAGGCAGCCACCUGGAUCAACACUGACGCUCAUGUACGAAAGCGUGGGGAGCAAACGGGAUUAGAUACCCCGGUAGUCCACGCCGUAACGAUGUCUAC
rnacentral:rRNA from 1 species